AUUGAACGCUGGCGGCAGGCCUAACACAUGCAAGUCGAACGCGUGGCGGACGGGUGAGUAAUUUCUGGGAAACUGCCUGAUGGAGGGGGAUAACUACUGGAAACGGUCGCUAAUACCGCAUACCAUCAGAUGUGCCCAGAUGGGAUUAGCUAGUCGGUGGGGUAAAGGCUCACCUAGGCGACGAUCCCUAACUGGUCUGAGAGUAUGCCCAGUCACACUGGAACUGAGACAAGGUGCAGAAUCAUACGGGAGGCAGCAGGGGGGAAUAUUGCACAAUGGGCGCAAGCCUGAUGCAGCCAUGCCGCGUGUAUGAAGAAGGCCUUAGGGUUGUAAAGGACUUGCAUCGGGGAGGCGUUACCCGCAGAAGAAGCACCGGCUAACUCCGUGCCAGCAGCCGCGGUAAUUC
rnacentral:rRNA from 1 species